rnacentral:tRNA from 1 species
GGGAGCAUAGCUCAGUGGUAGAGCAUCCGACUGCAGAUCGGAUUGUCCCCGGUUCAAAUCCGGGUGCUCCCU